GAUGAACGCUGGCGGCGUGCCCAAUACAUGCAAGUCGAGCGAACGGACGAGAAGCUUGCUUUUCUGAUGUUAGCGGCGGACGGGUGAGUAACACGUGGAUAACCUACCUAUAAGACUGGGAUAACUUCGGGAAACCGGAGCUAAUACCGGAUAAUAUUUUGAACCGCAUGGUUCAAAAGUGAAAGACGGUCUUGCUGUCACUUAUAGAUGGAUCCGCGCUGCAUUAGCUAGUUGGUAAGGUAACGGCUUACCAAGGCAACGAUGCAUAGCCGACCUGAGAGGGUGAUCGGCCACACUGGAACUGAGACACGGUCCAGACUCCUACGGGAGGCAGCAGUAGGGAAUCUUCCGCAAUGGGCGAAAGCCUGACGGAGCAACGCCGCGUGAGUGAUGAAGGUCUUCGGAUCGUAAAACUCUGUUAUUAGGGAAGAACAUAUGUGUAAGUAACUGUGCACAUCUUGACGGUACCUAAUCAGAAGGCCACGGCUAACUACGUG
rnacentral:rRNA from 1 species